ACGCCGAAGACUGCGCGCCGCGUAAAGGCACGGGAACAACGCGUCGAGCCGUGUGACCUAAAUUUUCCUCAAAAGAUGCUAAUCUGGCUGCGGUGGUCGCAUUAUAGUCUCGUCUCAGAACAAGAUCUUUCUACAGUCGCGAUUACAAGGGUACGAGCAAACUUCCAUCCGAUGGCAGAUCUCGGAGCACUCCUCGACGCCCGAAGCAGUGACAAGCUCCGAUCAUAAUUUUCGUUCUUUACUGCCAGGCAGUAAAAACCCGGACGAGUAUGGGUGGGCGUUGCCCGCAAACAUUGCGUUUGACCGUAUUCUACGCGGUAUUACCCCGUCCAAAAUCGUUUCCUAUAUUUAGCCACGGAUCAUGUCC
rnacentral:misc_RNA from 1 species